AUACGGAGGAUGCGAGCGUUAUCCGGAUUUAUUGGGUUUAAAGGGAGCGUAGGCGGGAGCUUAAGUCAGCGGUUAAAUGGUGCGGCUCAACCGUGCCCUGCCGUUGAAACUGGGUUUCUUGAGAGUGCAAGAGGCGGAUGGAAUUCAUGGUGUAGCGGUGAAAUGCUUAGAUAUCAUGAAGAACUCCGAUUGCGAAGGCAGUCCGCUGGGGAACGUCUGACGCUGAUGUUCGAAGGUGCGGGAAUCAAACAGGAUUAGAUACCCUGGUAGUCCACGCAGUAAACGAUGAUAACUAACCGCUGGGUCGUAGUGAUUCAGUGGCCAAGCGAAAGCGAUAAGUUAUCCACCUGGGGAGUACGACCGCAAGGUUGAAACUCAAAGGAAUUGACGGGG
rnacentral:rRNA from 1 species